UACGGGGGGGGCAAGCGUUGUUCGGAAUUACUGGGCGUAAAGGGCGCGUAGGCGGCCUGCUAAGUCGGACGUGAAAUCCCUCGGCUCAACCGGGGAACUGCGUCCGAUACUGGUGGGCUCGAAUCCGGGAGAGGGAUGUGGAAUUCCAGGUGUAGCGGUGAAAUGCGUAGAUAUCUGGAGGAAUACCGGUGGCGAAGGCGGCAUCCUGGACCGGCAUUGACGCUGAGGAGCGAAAGCCAGGGGAGCAAACGGG
rnacentral:rRNA from 1 species